GGAGAGAUGGCCGAGCGGCUGAAGGCGCUCCCCUGCUAAGGGAGUGUAGAUUUUAUAGUCUACCGAGGGUUCGAAUCCCUCUCUCUCCGCCA
rnacentral:tRNA from 1 species